rnacentral:tRNA from 1 species
UAGAAUGUAGUAUAAUGGAAGUACGCGGAAUUUUGAAUUCCUUGGGGCGGGUUCAAUUCCUGCUGUUCUAA